rnacentral:rRNA from 1 species
CCCUUAGAUGUUCUGGGCAGCACGCGCGCUACAAUGGUCUUCGCAAACGGAUGCAUUCUCGAAGGAGAAUGCCAAUCUUGGAAUCUAUGCCUUGGUCGGGACAGUUGCUUGCAAUUUUUCGACUCGAACCAGGAAUUCCUUGUAAUCGUGAUUCAUCACAUCACAAUGAAUACGUCCCUGCCCUUUGUACACACCGCCCGUCGCUCCUACCGAUCGAAGAGUUAGGUGAAUUGUUUUGAUCGAUAAGAUUUGACUAUGGUCAACUCUCGUUGUGAAAUUCUGUGAAUCUGACUGUUUAGAGGAAGGAAAAGUCGUAACA